GAUGAACGCUGGCGGCGUGCCUAAUACAUGCAAGUCGAGCGAACAGACGAGGAGCUUGCUCCUUUGACGUUAGCGGCGGACGGGUGAGUAACACGUGGAUAACCUACCUAUAAGACUGGGAUAACUUCGGGAAACCGGAGCUAAUACCGGAUAACAUGUUGAACCGCAUGGUUCAACAGUGAAAGACGGUCUUGCUGUCACUUAUAGAUGGAUCCGCGCCGCAUUAGCUAGUUGGUAAGGUAACGGCUUACCAAGGCAACGAUGCGUAGCCGACCUGAGAGGGUGAUCGGCCACACUGGAACUGAGACACGGUCCAGACUCCUACGGGAGGCAGCAGUAGGGAAUCUUCCGCAAUGGGCGAAAGCCUGACGGAGCAACGCCGCGUGAGUGAAGAAGGUCUUCGUAUCGUAAAACUCUGUUAUUAGGGAAGAACAAAUGUGUAAGUAACUAUGCACGUCUUGACGGUACCUAAUCAGAAAGCCACGGCUAACUACGUG
rnacentral:rRNA from 1 species